AAAUUGAAGAGUUUGAUCAUGGCUCAGAUUGAACGCUGGCGGCAGGCCUAACACAUGCAAGUCGAACGGUAACAGAAAGAAGCUUGCUUCUUUGCUGACGAGUGGCGGACGGGUGAGUAAUGUCUGGGAAACUGCCUGAUGGAGGGGGAUAACUACUGGAAACGGUAGCUAAUACCGCAUAACGUCGCAAGACCAAAGAGGGGGACCUUCGGGCCUCUUGCCAUCGGAUGUGCCCAGAUGGGAUUAGCUAGUAGGUGGGGUAACGGCUCACCUAGGCGACGAUCCCUAGCUGGUCUGAGAGGAUGACCAGCCACACUGGAACUGAGACACGGUCCAGACUCCUACGGGAGGCAGCAGUGGGGAAUAUUGCACAAUGGGCGCAAGCCUGAUGCAGCCAUGC
rnacentral:rRNA from 1 species